CCUACGGGAGGCAGCAGUGAGGAAUAUUGGUCAAUGGCCGGAAGGCUGAACCAGCCAUGCCGCGUGAAGGUCAGUGCCCUAUGGGCGUUAAACUUCUUUUGUGCGGGAGCAAUAAUGGUCACGUUUGGCCAGACGAUAGUACCGUACGAAUAAGCAUCGGCUAACUCCGGUCCAGCAGCCGCGGUAAUACGGGGGAUGCAAGCGUUAUCCGGGUUUAUUGGGUUUAAAGGGUGCGUAGGCUGUGAGGUAAGUCAGCGGUGAAAUGUCUCCGCUCAACGGGGUGAAGUGCCAUUGAUACUGCCUUGCUGGAAUGCGGAUGCCGUGGGAGGAAUGUGUGGUGUAGCGGUGAAAUGCAUAGAUAUCACACAGAACACCGAUUGCGAAGGCAUCUCACGAAUCCGCGAUUGACGCUGAUGCACGAAAGCGUGGGUAUCAAACAGGAUUAGAUACCCCAGUAGUC
rnacentral:rRNA from 1 species